GAGGGGUUAUAUAAUUUGCCCUGCGUUACACAGCUAACAAAUUCUGCCUGGAAGCUGCCCUCGAAACUUCGGAUUGCUGGUGUAUGGCUCUUUUGCUAUAGCUGAGCUAUCUCUGAAAAGGGGAGACUGGCUGCUAGUCCUGGAGUAGAAAGAGAUCUUUCUCUUGCUGUAUGGCUUUGUGUGAUUCCCUUGCCCUCUCUGAGCCUGGGGCUGGACGAGGUAGUUCUCCUGGCAUCCUCUGAAGCUAUGUGGGAGCCACAGAGCGGAAGGUACCAGGAUGAGCACUGACCGGUGUGACUGAAGUGACACACGGAGGAUCUCUCUAAGUAGCCCAGCCCAGCCUCAAACUUGCGAUUCUUCUGCCUCAGCCUCCUUCGUACUGUACCGGAAUUCACAGGUAUGUGCCCCUAGGCCCAACAAGGCAAGGGUUUCCCAUCUUAAUCCUCAUAGAACAUUUGGGGGAAACAGACCACAACGGAAGCAUCUGAGUGGGUUAGGAGGAAUGGCGUCUGCUCUUAACCCAAGCCCUCCCCAGUCAUAGCUCACGCGCAUUCAGCCCCGUACCAGCCUCUUCCGGCAGUGCCUGGCCCUGGGCUCCGUGUGGGACACAAUAAGGGGGGCUGGGACUCUCUCAGAUCUGGCCCAAGGGGCAGAGGGGCAGGAACCACUGAGAGCCUUGCUGGGGCGCUGACACGCUGGACGAGUGCCCACAGGUGCAGCUGAGGCAGGUAUGUAUGCCAGGGGUAGGCGAGUGGCCUGCAAGAAGGGCUGCACCUGGGUCCAGGGCUGGGGGGGUCAGCAGGAGCCUUGGACUCCUUCCUGAAAGCAAUAGAGACUCCCAGAAGGGUUUGUGCUCGGGAGAGCUACUCGGGUGUCUCAGAUAGUUUGCAGAGGCAAUGUGAGGAGAUCCAGUUAGAGACAAAGAGAUCAGUCAGGAUGGUUGCACCAGCAACCAUCUAGGCGAGAGAAGCUAAAACCUGAGAAGUAAUUAUAAAAAUGGGAAAAAAGUAAAUUGUGUGGUUUAGGAAAUUGAAAUAUAUAUAUUUUUUUCAGCUGUAGGAACUGGACCCAAGGCCUCAUGUGUACUAGACAAACAUUCUACUACAGAGCUAGGCCCUCAGCCCUAAAGUAUUUGUUUUUAAAGAACAGGACUUGAAGCUGGGCGC